GCCCCCGUAGCUCAGCUGGAUAGAGCACCGGACUUCUAAUCCGACGGUCGCAGGUUCGAAUCCUGCCGGGGGUG
rnacentral:tRNA from 2 species